ensembl:lncRNA
GAACAGCACAGGAUCAUGGUUGUCAGCCUCAGAGGCAGACAGCUGAGGUUGAAAUCUUAGCUCUUGUGUUACUAGAAGGACAGUUUGAGGUAAGUUAUUAAGUGUCUUCAGGGCUUGGUUUUCCCAAGGAAUAAAAGCAUUCCCCUCCCUCCCUAACACACAUGUCCAGGGAGUGCAUGAGUUGUAAGGAUAUUAUCACAUGUAGAGCUUAGAAUAACAUGUGGCUGGUAGCCAGAGCAAGGCAGUCUCCUAAAUCAGUUUGGUUGAUAGCUUUCCUGGGCGUGAAGAGAAUUCAUGCAUGUCCUUGUGGGGCUUACAAAAGAAGAGCCAUUGCUUUUGACGAUGAAUAAUUGGUGUUCACCUCAACUUGCUUUCAAGGAAAGUUUGAGAGAUUGCUUUGAAAGAUUGGCUAAAAUUUAACAUGGGCACUAAGACGUUUUAAAUUGGAUUCAUGAUUCUGUCUUCACUGCACUCUGGAACUCUUCAAUGGGUAGUUACCUGCUUCCUAAUAACUUCAGUUGUCAUCCUGCUCUUUCCUUUCUGACUCACCCACAAUACUAACAAAGUUAGAGGUCUCAAACAUCAUGGAAGUGGUUAUUUUUGGUUCAGCACAUUAAUGUAUAAGAUUUUGUUUUGAUGAUGGUCGUAUCUGUUUGUAAUUUUCCCUUGGCCCUAGUGUGGUGGGGCACAUGGCAUAGCCCCUGGUCAGCAUGGGGCAUGAGAAUGGCAGCCCAUUUGCUCUGCUCGAGGUAUUCUCCCAUGGCAGUUAUUCAACCUCUUCAGAGGCUCCUUUUCCACAGUAGAAAGGAUAUUCAAAUCCUUACUAACUGUUCAGUGUUGGUGAGAAGGAUCUGUCGUCACAGCCCCUGCAGCAUGCAAGAGUCUCUUAGCGGCAAACCUAAGAACUCAGUUAAUAUUCACAGUUAUUUUAGUACAUCUUGGAUGCUGGAAUUUCCAUUAGGUGUCCCAGAAGAAUCAAAUUGGGUAGACUUUAUUCACCCAAUUUUUCCUUCAGGAAAAUCUAGAACAAGCUCCCAGAAAGUUGAAUCAACUCAAGAGGAAUGCGUGAAUCAAAAAUGUUUAUAACAAUCCAGAUAAUGGAAGGAUAAGACAGAGAUUCAGAGACAGAAAAAUCAAGUCUGAAUUUAAGAAUCUCCACACUUUUCUGCACAGUGAGAGGGAUUCUUAUCUGUGGAGGCUGGAGAAAGAAGAGCAGAUGCUGAUGAGCCUGAGGGAGAAUGAGGCCAACUUGGAGUGGAAGAACCAUGAACUCAAGAGCCACCUCCUGGAACUAGAGGCAAAAUGUCAGAGCUCAGCCCAGAAACUGGCGCAGGACUUGUGCUGUGAAGCUGGAAGCACCUGAGGCCUUUUCCUUGGAGGUUCAGACUGUGUUUGGUGCUGCUGAACUUUACAGGAAUAUGAAGAUGAAGUUAAUGGGUUAUCAAGGUAUGAGAUCCAGGGAUUCUCUCAGUGCUGUGAUGGGAAGGACUUCAAGCAACCUCAGGGAUCGUGUGGGUAUUUUCAGCAGGGCUGCCUUACUUUCCCCAUUUAGCAUGAUCUUGCUGAAUUUGUUUUGCAUCCUGGGCAUAUGAGGAAACCUUUAGUUUCUGCUCUGCUCUGUCACCUCAGGCAGCUCCUGUCACUGUUUCCCCUUUGGAGAAAGAAGUGUAUUCACAGUUCCCAAUAUACUGAGUUGUCCUGAACACUAACUGCAAUCACACAUGAAAACUGUUCUCAUGGUGCUUGGCACCGGAUGGAGUUAGGUGGAGUAGGAUGGAUUUUCUUUGGCGCAGGUGACUGUCAUGCUUCUUGUGACUGUUUCAAAUUCUGACAGGAGUCCAGAAAGUUAGAUGAGUAUUACAGACCAUGUUUUCAACAGUUUUAGGCACUUGCCUUAGAUAACACAGGUAAAUAUGAUAACCCUGACAAAAAUUAUGUUUCACUAUGCCAAUGGCUUGUCUUCCUGUUCCAUUUUUCAGUGCUUGCUUUAUUUCUAUAGUUUUUUCCCAUAACUACAAAAUGCAAAAUCUGUGAAAACGGAGUUUUAUUUUGAUUAUUUUUCCUGCAUGAGACCUGAACUUGAACUGUUUUGCUGGCUGUAGUACUCAUUUAUUGUUACCAACAAAAUAGCAAAAUUCAGUGUCUUAAAACAAUUCAAAUAUCUCGUCUUUGUGAGUCAGGAACCUGGGUGCAGCUCAGGGGACCUCUGUUUAGAGCCUCAGGAGGCUGCAGUGAAGGUGUAGCUGGGCUGUGUUCUGAUCCUGACUCUUGCCUGGAAAAGAAAACCUCCCACACUCACUUAGGUUGCUGGCAGGAUUCAUUUCCCUUGGGUUGCAGGUUAGAGGGUCCUGGUUUCUUGCUGGCUGUGGCUCCAGGCUGCCCUGACUCCAGGGUCUCCAGUCAGCUCUUUGCACAUAAGCUUACACGUGGCCGAGUAUUUCUCAAGCAUGAGCUUAGAAGGAGCCUCCAUAGGGAAUGUGUCAGUGAGAUAAAUAAUGUGUAUAAAUAAUCAAUCACUGUCACAGGAUUCAUAUCCUAACAUUUGUGCCAUACUGCAGGGGUCAGAAGCAAUUCUCAGGCCCUGCCUGCAAGUGAAGGGAAGGAAUUUCACUAUGUCUGAACACCAAGAGGCAGUGUCCUCGGAUUGCCCCCCCACCCUUCCUUUGAGUCUGUCUGUCCCAGGGGACUCACCUGAACUCCACUGAUGUGAAGUUAUCUGGAGUCCUACUUUAUCCCAUGUACUUUGAAUAUAGGUUUUGCUACAGAAAUAUUGGUGCUUUUGGUCACAAAAUUCUGCCUUGAACCCUGUGGGAAGACACAUCAUAUAGAGACUAGGACCUUGAAGAGAAAGUGCUGAUGUUUGAGAUGCAUGUGCCAUGUUCCUAGAUCCUACAGAGAAUGCAAUUUUGCCUCUCCCUACUCUUCCAGCAGCAAUAGAACAACCAGUGUUCCACGUCUUCUUGAUUGUAUGUAUAUAAUUUUUUCCCAACUGAUGGAUUUGAAAUGGUACCUAAUUGUGCACCCAAUUUCUGUUUCUCCAUUUUCACUAAUGAGUUUGGGAGUUUUACUUGUUCAUGUUUUCUUUGUAAAGGUUUAUGUCUAAGACCCUUUGGGUUUCUGUGAUUUACCUCUGAUUUACUGGAGUUUAAUAAUUUUUAAACUCUAUGUUAUGGCUUGUGUCUAGACGUCUGCCCAAAGCGUCAUGCAUUCAUAGGUGGGGCUUUUUCUGAGGGGGCUGAAUAUAGAAUGUGUGAUUCAUGGUGCAAGGCUAGGCAGGCGAACACUAGGUUUAAGAAGGUCAGUAAUACCCACCUAAGUAGUCAGAGUAAGAUAAAAGGGACAGAAAGAUACUGUUGAGGUCCCCUGUUGCUUUUGCUGUCUUUUGCCACCAUGAACUGUUGCCCCUCUGCCAAGCCACCCUGCCACGGAGCCAGCUGAUUAUGGAUUGAAACCUCUUGAAACUGUGAUCUAAUAAACCCUUUCCCCUUUGUCUUUGAAUGUCGGGUAUUUUGUCUCAGCAGUGAGAGAACAAUAACUAACAUAUUUAGGUUCUUAGAUCCUUAUUAAUUUCUAGGAGACUAUAGCCAAUGUUUCUCCUGUUAUAUGCGUGGCAUUUUCACUUUCUUUUUUCUGAUUAAGUUUCAAACUUAGGGUGACCAUAUUUUCCUUUACAGUUGGUGACUUUUGUUUCCAAAGAGCCCAGUCAUCAAUGGGCAUUGAAUUUCACCAAUGAGUUAGUUGCAUUCACUGCGAGCAUCCUGUGAUUUCUUUCCUUAAAUGUGCUGAGGAGGUGAUUCAACAAUUUACUUUGUAAUGUCAGUCUUCAGUUGUAUUCACAGGAUAAGCCAAAUUUGUAAAUAUAGAUUUUAUACAUAUAUGUACAUAUGCUAUAUAUAUAUGUAUAUAUGCUAUGUGUACCAUACUGAGUCAAUACCUCAGUUUGAAGUUAAUUUGCUAAUCAUUUCUGUGCUGCAUUGUUGUCAGAUAAGGGCUGGUUUCCCAGAAUAGUUAGCAUACACAUAAGCCACUGCACAAGGAAGACUCUCAAAAUUAUAAAAGUGGGUAAAACCAGUUAGCUGCCAACUAGGUUUACUUACAAUUUGAUCAUAUUUGUGUUGGAGGUGAAGACAGUUGCUAAGUAGAUGAAAAAUCUUUUUACAUAUCAGUCCUGCUCAUGUAGAAAGUGAUUUCAUAUAUUUCAUUAAAGUUCUGUAAAUAUAUUCUUAUUUCUUUAUUAUAGUCGGCAUUGUAUCAGCUCUGUAUGUUUGCUCCACAGCUUGAUUUUUCCAAUUGGUAAUGGAACUAUCCAAGUUUUCAAUUUAUCGAUGGGGGAGAGAAAACUGUAUCUCAAAUAAUAAUGUAGUAUAUACAGAACUAAGCUUGCAUUUACAUAUACAAUAUGUGGAUAUGCAUGUGUUUGAUAUAAUGCAUUAUAUAUUAUGUACUAUAAAUAGCAUAUAAUAUAUAUUAAUAUAUAAAAGUCUGGCUUUUAAUAAAAUAUGGUCAUAUGUAACAGGUAUAACACGUAUGUUGCACUAUAAACAUUAUUUUAAAUGUAGCCUUUGUGUUCUCUCUCCCUCUCCCAACAUAGCGACCUCAUCAAAAGAGAAUAGGAAGGGGAAACUAUCUCCCUAACAGACUUUCUGGAUGACAGCAGAGGCAUUGAUAGAGGAAGAAGCACUUAUGGCCUCAAAUCAAUCAGCUGGGCUGAUGAAACAGAUGACUGGGAAGAGGAUGUUUCAGCCAGAUGGCAGAGUGGGGAUGAGGAUGUGUAUGGGGUUCCUGGAACUGACCAUGUUGUCCUUGCCACCGCUCCAUGUGCUGCUCAGGAACCCAGUGUCGACUGGAGCUGUCUGCCCAAGUCUCUGCCCUACCCUGCUUUUCUUGGGAACCUUCCCAAAGAUCUGAUCAAAGAUUUGGUUAAGAACUUCUUUAGAGGAUUAAAUAUCAGGGUGGUGCAUUUACCAUGUGACCCCUGCAAUCCAAAAAGGUAGAAAGGUUUUGGUUCUGUUCAGUUUGGGAACUUGGAUUCCCUGCUCUGUGCCCUGAGUCUCAAUAAACUGUGUCUAGGCAAAAGAAUAGUUCGAGUUGGAUUAGCUGAUCAAGCAUAGCAAGACAGCACACAGGAGCCUGACAAAACAGACACAGACUGGAGGGCCCGACCUGCCACAGACAGCUUUGAUGAUGACAGCCCACCCAGAAGCAGUGAUGAUGGCUUUGGAUGCAAGUAUCAAGACUGUUAUGAUUCAGAUAGUGGUGGGUAUCAGAAUGGCCUAUCCUGGCCUAUGAAUCCAUAUAGGAGCCGGGAUCAUUAGGGCCACCAAGGCAGCAGAGACUCUGAUAGAGACUGUGAUUCCAGAAUAGGCAAUGGCAGAAGAGCCCUCCAUAGUGAGUGCCAUAGAGAUAAUUACUACAAAGGAGGUGGAGACCAUGGUGAUGACCCAUAUGCUGACAGCUCAUGGGGCUCCAGAGAUGAUUACUAAGACAAUUCUUGGUGCAAUUGUAGAGGUCUGCCCCACAGACCCAGACUGAAUCUGAAACCUGGGAGUACUCCUAAGGAAAACGAUUCUUCCACCACCCCCUUCCAGCCCAGUCGAGCACCUUCCAUCUUUAGAGGGGUAAAGCCUGUUGACACAGCUGCUAGGGAAAGAGAAGUGGAGGAAUGGAUGCAGAAGGAGCAGGAGAGAUCUUCGUGGGGGCCAGAUAAUCCAAAACUAGAAUGGCGGUCAGGCUGGCAAAGGGAAGAAACUCAGGUAUAGGAAGGAAAAGUGAAUCACUGAAGACUGGAACCUCAGGCCCACCUGGCAAAAAUGCAUAAAGAAGAAAAAGAAGUCUCUAGAAAAUCAAAUACUCGGUAAGGUGGAAGAUUGUCACUCUUCAAUUUCUAAGCUUCCCCAAAGGUGAUCAGCUUCUAAAGGUAAUGCCAGCCACCCCACCAAAGGAGAAUGGGUGGUAAAGCACCAUCCUGCUCCAUCUCAGAGCUCUGGCACAGAGCAGAAAUCUCCUAGAGAUGGUAGUGGCUUGGAAGGUAGCUCCAACUCAGCCACCUGAAGAAAGACCAAUAAGGAAAAUUGCAAAUAAAAUGGAUGGGGUGUGUAUCCAAAAAGGCUAACCUGAGAACUCCUGUCAUAAUUCAGGAGACAGAGAAAAAAAAAUCACUAGAAGGAGGUAGAUAGGAAGGAGGGCAAAGAGAAUCAAGACUCCAGCUCUGCACUUGUGCAAAGGAAAACAGGAAAAUCCAGCCUCCAAGUUCAGUUCUGCAAGCAGGUAAGCUGCUCUCUCCAUGAGUGGUGAAGAUGGAAACGAG